GCGCCUGUAGCUCAGCUGGUAGAGCAUUCGACUUUUAAUCGAACGGUCUCGGGUUCGAGUCCCGACGGGCGUA
rnacentral:tRNA from 1 species